rnacentral:rRNA from 1 species
AUUGAACGCUGGCGGUAUGCUUAACACAUGCAAGUCGAACGCGAAAGCUCUUUCGGGAGUGAGUAGAGUGGCGGACGGGUGAGUAACGCGUGGGAAUCUGCCCAAUAGUGGGGGACAACCUGAGGAAACUCGGGCUAAUACCGCAUAGGCCCUACGGGGUAAAGGCUUCGGUCGCUAUUGGAUGAGCCCGCGUCCGAUUAGCUAGUUGGUAAGGUAAGAGCUUACCAAGGCGAUGAUCGGUAGCUGGUCUGAGAGGACGAUCAGCCACACUGGGACUGAGACACGGCCCAG